ACCCACAGUAUAGACACAGUGGAACUGAACCCAGUAAUGGUAUGGACAGAUGGACUCCAGACUGCAGGGAGCAGGUGUGGUGCAAAGAAGAGUGGGCAGUCCGGCCAGGCCAGUAUUCACAGGGAGAGAGACACUGCAGCCCAGAAGUCGGCAGCCAAAACACCCCCAAAGAGGGCCAUGCCAGGGAAGGAGUUAAAGACCUAGUGGAAGGAGUUAAAGACCUAGCGCCGGGAUGCGGUUGAUAGUGAAACACUGCGCUGCUGUUCUUCCUGUGUGUUACCUGCAGGACUAAUUUUUUAUAUUCCUUUUGUUUUCUUCUUCUGCUGCUGCCUUUCAACCCAAGUGUCCUUGCUGUGGACAGUCCAAACGUGCAGGACUUGAUGAAACUAUGCAGUUAAAAGGGUGCCUCACAUUUCUGAAGAGACCCUUGAAAGGUUUAAAAAUAAAAAUGCUUGACUCUUACUGGGUGCAGAGUUCUCCAAAUAUGAGCUGCUCAGAUUUUAUGAAACAUGACUCAGACUUCCCCUGCCAGCAGAAGACGGGCGGUUUGUGUUGCCUCAUCUCUGACUUUAAUGUAGAUGCAGGUUGUUGUGGAUUAAGAACCAGUGGUCAACUUAACGCCAGCUGGAUUACAUCAGCAUGGCACUGAGUGAAGAUGUCCCAUCUGAAGAAACUUGCCAGCUUAAAUAGGUGGAGAAGGAGAAGGACAUUGUUAAGGCGUUGAGACAUUAAUGCAUUGUUUCAUUGAGGCAUUGUGGGGUCUCCUAUGAGUUGUUGUUUGAGCCACUGGUUCUCCUGGAGACGCUAUGGUCCUGACAUUGAGCAUUGCUUCCUGACUUCAGAGGGGAAGACGUGUGCUGCUUGGUCUCCAGGAUGACGUCAUCAUGCUGACUUCCUGGCAGGUACCUGACUGUGCUUGUCAUUGGAGGAGCUCGGGGCCUCCAUGUCACUGAGGAUGGCUGUGGUGCUUUUCAGGGCAGUCUUGCUCUUUGUUGUGAGUGUGACUUCUCAGCUCCAGCAUAGAACCCUCAUCCCACUAGCACAGCUCCUUCACCCCGCUGGAAUGGACUUUCUGGCUUCCACUGCUGACCCUUGGGCCUUCCCGGCACAAACCUGUAAGAAAGACUGGUGUGAGUCCUUUUUGUGGGCUCUGGAUCUCCAGUUGGAUCCGUGGGAGGCAUUGUCCUGAGUUCUGGGUUUUCAUCUGGACUCAUGUGGGACUUUGCUGUGGGAUUUAGGCCCUUGAUUAAAUAUUCCAUGUCUUUGGUGUUGCAGAUAGAUUUCCUGUACUUCAUUGUGUUAAUUCCCGAAGACCAUUAUAAAAAUAUUAUAAACUCCA